rnacentral:rRNA from 1 species
UACCGCGGUUAUACGAGAGGCCCAAGUUGAUAACUAGCGGCGUAAAGAGUGGUUAAGGAAACAUAAAUACUAAAGCCGAACGCCUACAGGGCUGUUAUACGCACACGAAGGUAAGAAGUUCAACCACGAAGGUGGCUUUAAUUAUACCUGACCCCACGAAAGCGAAGACA